CCAGGAAUGCAAGUCAAAACAUAUCAUUAGGUUCCCAUUGUAGUAACAAAAAAAUGUUAAGGUUACUCGGAGGUUAUCUCCAGGUACCUAGAGGGCAAGCAAAACCUUGGACAGUUAUUCCCCUAAAACAGUUCAGUAAGUGAAACUAAGUCAAAGGUCAAUUCUCAUCCUCAGUAAGUGAAACUAAGUCAAAGGUCAAUUCUCAUCCUCCGUAAAUUGUCUAAAAACAAUGUCCCCCACUAUGUUCCUCAUAAAACCACUCAUAUGACAUCAUUGUUUUAACUCAUUUUGUCAACCUUUGUGAUAAAAGUUUUUCAUUUGCCUGCAGCAUUGUUCUUUACUAUAUAAACCCAAGCCUUACUACAAUAAAUCGCAGCAGUAACAUA